CGGCUACCUAAGAGGGAAGGGCCCCCUGUGC
rnacentral:piRNA from 1 species